rnacentral:tRNA from 7 species
GCGCCCGUAGCUCAAUUGGAUAGAGCGUCUGACUACGAAUCAGGAGGUUGGGAGUUCGAGUCUUCCCGGGCGCGCCA